UACAGAGGGUGCGAGCGUUAAUCGGAAUUACUGGGCGUAAAGCGUGCGCAGACGGUUGCGUAAGUCAGAUGUGAAAGCCCCGGGCUCAACCUGGGAAUUGCAUUUUGAGACUGCGUAGCUAGGGUGCGGAAGAGGGAAGCGGAAUUUCCGGUGUAGCGGUGAAAUGCGUAGAUAUCGGAAGGAACACCAGUGGCGAAAGCGGCUUCCUGGUCCAGCACCGACGUCAGGCACGAAAGCGUGGGGAGCAAACAGG
rnacentral:rRNA from 1 species